AAGAGGGAACCCGGUGGGAAUCCGGGACUGUCCCGCAGCGGUGAGUGGGAACGACAGCCGUCACCAGCACUGGGCCCCGUCUCGCCGGGGCCGGGGAAGCGACGGCCGGUAGGUGCCCGCCGGACAACCCGGUGGGCGUGCCCACGAGUCCGAAGACCU
rnacentral:ncRNA from 2 species